rnacentral:rRNA from 1 species
AUUGAACGCUGGCGGCAGGCCUAACACAUGCAAGUCGAGCGGAUGAAGGGAGCUUGCUCCUGGAUUCAGCGGCGGACGGGUGAGUAAUGCCUAGGAAUCUGCCUGGUAGUGGGGGAUAACGUCCGGAAACGGGCGCUAAUACGGCAUACGUCCUGAGGGAGAAAGUGGGGGAUCUUCGGACCUCACGCUAUCAGAUGAGCCUAGGUCGGAUUAGCUAGUUGGUGGGGUAAAGGCCUACCAAGGCGACGAUCCGUAACUGGUCUGAGAGGAUGAUCAGUCACACUGGAACUGAGACACGGUCCAGACUCCUACGGGAGGCAGCAGUGGGGAAUAUUGGACAAUGGGCGAAAGCCUGAUCCAGCCAUGCCGCGUGUGUGAAGAAGGUCUUCGGAUUGUAAAGCACUUUAAGUUGGGAGGAAGGGCAGUAAGUUAAUACCUCGCUGUUUUGACGUUACCAAAAGAAUAAGCACCGGCUAACUUCGU